GCCCAGACUCCUACGGGAGGCAGCAGUGGGGGAUAUUGCACAAUGGGGGGAACCCUGAUGCAGCGACGCCGCGUGGGUGAAGAAGUCUUUCGGUAUGUAAAGCCCUAUCGGCAGGGAAGAAAUUGGCCGGUACCUGACUAAGAAGCCCCGGCUAACUACGUGCCAGCAGCCGCGGUAAUACGCAGGGGGCAAGCGUUAUCCGGAUUCACUGGGUGUAAAGGGGGCGGAGACGGCCGUGCUAGCCUGGAGUGAAAGCCCGGGGCCCAACCCCGGGACUGCUCUGGGAACUGGGCGGCUGGAGUGCGGGAGGGGCAGGCGGAAUUCCUGGUGUAGCGGUGAAAUGCGUAGAUAUCAGGAGGAACACCGGCGGCGAGGGCGGCCUGCUGGACCGCGACUGACGUUGAGGCUCGAAAGCGUGGGGAGCGAACAGGAUUAGAUACCCCCGUAA
rnacentral:rRNA from 1 species